CUCUCUGUCUCUGUCUGUCUGUCUGUCUCUCUGUGUGUGUGUGUGUGUGUGUGUGUUUAAUCUACUUAGAGAAAAGCAUUGUACUUAAGAAGAUGCCUCCAAGAUGGCUGAGUGGUUAAGAGCAUGUACUAUUCCUAAGGAGGACUUGUGCCAGGAGGCUCAUGACCACUUGUGACUUGUUCCAGGGGAAUCCAAUGCCCCCUCUGGACACUCCAGGCACCUGCACUCACAAGCACACACCUACACACAGGCAUAUAUAUUUUUUAAAGAGCAUGCUUUAUUUAGUUCGAGUUCAUUAUGAUCAUUAAGCAAUUUGCACAAGUUAACCUCUCGAUGCCUAAACCAACAGUAAAAUGAAGCUAUGCAUUGCAUCUCAGCGCCAUGAACAUUAUGAAAUAAUGUUCGUUCAAUGAAAGUAUCUAGUUAAGUAGUUAACAUAUAGGAAGGAACUAAUAGUUAUUAUUGGGAAGACCAAGAAGGGAAGUCAUGGCAAAGGGGCCCCCAAGGGAAGUCAAAUCACCGGCGUCCUUACACACAAGAGCUGAACACACAGCCAAGGUUAGCCCUGUGGCCACCAAGAAGUCGGGUGAACACAAAGCUCAAACACAAGGGUGGGGAAGCACUCAGAACAGGAGAGUGUCACUAACUCCGUCAAGGAGUAAGUCACACACAGUAUGGCUGCAAAGAAGCCUUCAGAAACUCAGCAGAUGGGAAAGGGAGGAAGCUGGUGCAGAGGCAGAAGUGAAGGACAGACGCAGGUAAGGAGGCCGACUGGAGUGUCUGCUGUGCUGUGCUGAGCUGGGCUGGGCUGGGCUGUGCAGAAGGGAGGGGACCGGAAGGUGGAUACAGCUGUGGUCCCACCACAGUGGGCUGUGUUUAUGAAGUUUACAUUCUAGUCGCUGGGCAGUGGGAAAGUGAAAGGAGGGGAUUAAACAUGCCAUUUUGAUAGCAAUCCUUUUAAAGACAGAAAAGCAUCCUAAGUCCUUAAUCAUUACAUCCCGGAUCUGUUAACCGAAAAUGGCAACUAUGAUAAGCCUGCACUCCGAAACCAUAAAGAAUCCCAGUGCUCAGACUGGGCUGGAUCUGGCCGCCACCUCAUCAACUUGACCAGGAGGACGUUAAGGCACUUGUCUUUACAGCAGCAGAGAACAGCUGUGUUUACCCUGCGCAUGUGCUGUGUAGCUUGCCAUUACUAUCUCAUUUAACUCUCACGACACUCAUAAAAGGCACUAUUGACCCCAUUUGAGAUCAGAAAACCCAAACAAGGCUUGGGUCAUUUGACUAGUGACUGGCAGAGCCAGGAUUCCAAGGGAGGCAGACUUCAAAGCCCUAAAAUUAAGCCAGCCUGUGCAAAUAGGGCACUGCUCAGUUCAUUAAACAUCAUGCACUCAGAAAUCCUUUCUGUGUACCUGCUAGAGUUUAAAGCAUCAUGCGAGGCUGGUGACGCUGAAAUUUUACUGGGCAGAACAGCCAUGGGCAGAGCACUAAGACAUAAAUGUCCCCAGCCCCACCCAGAAAUUUUGGUUCAGGAAGCCCAGGAUGGAGUCAGGAAUCCAUUUUUUCACUUGUAAGUUCAGUCGAUAUGAUUCACCUGUUCUGUGAACUAUGCUAGCUGACUGUGAGGUUCAAAGGCAUUAGAGACUCCUGACCUCCGAGCACUUCUCAUACAAUAAUGCAAGCAUAAAGACAUCACAUGAGAGAGGUCAUACAAAAUAAAACAAGAAUGAACAGGAUUUGAUGAAGAAGGGGUCACUCUCCCGCUGGCAAAGGGAGACACAAUGAACCGUCAUCUGGGUGGGACGAGUAUCUAUUUGGAGAAAUGGGAUGAUGGUCAAAAAGAAAAUUAAGGAAAGCUGGAGAAGGCCCUGAACAUCAACCAUUACACUAGUCUUUUUACUUAGUGCUGGCUGAACAGAUGAUAGCUGAUGGUUUGAGAGAAGAGAACAGGACUAAGGCUAGCCAUAUUGUGUGUAACAGUUCCCUCACAAUGCUGGGCAAGAUCACAAUCGACAGCUGGCCUACCACAGCUCUAAGCCCCAAGAACCAGGAUGCGUAGUCUCAAAAAGCAGAACUGACAACUCCUGAGGCUGCGUGGAGGGCACAGCUCAGGGGUAUUUCUCACCUACUAAACCCAGAUCCUAGCACUAGCAGCCCAAGUUCCUUUUCAGAACUCCUCCUGGAACUGUGGUAGAGUGUUCGCCUAGCAUGUGCCCGGUUCUGGGUUCAUUUCCUGGUCCAGGAGUAGGGCUGGGUGUAUAUGGGUGGCAUCUAAUAUAUCUGGCCCGAAUCUACAAAGCACUCAUUUCACAAAAUACAGUUCAGGAGUAAGGUGUGGGUACACAGGCCUGAGCAGCCCACAUGCAUGUUACACCAUUUAAAUCUAAUACACACACACACAUAUCACUAUUUGGAGCAACACAAUCUCACUUUAUUCAGUAUUCUAACAAGUAUCAAGUGUCCAAUUUCCAAUUCUCAAACCCUAAGCAUUCUGGAAGCAAAACCUACAAGGGCAGAAGAGACCUCUAUGGAUUUGAGCAUCAAGGGAGGGAUAAAACACUUUAUAAAGGACACAGGAUCAAACCCAGCGAGUUCUCCACAGUCGUUUAUUCAAGUGUACAAAUGAUUCCAAGAGUCUUGAAAUGAAUGAGAGUCCUCCCUAGCGAUCCCAACAUCUACUACAAAACAUUCUUUAAAACAUGGAAUAUUUAGCUUCUCGGAGACACAAUGGUUCACACAUGCCAACUCAAUCCCCUUCAGCAGCAGCCACACCACAAGCCAACAACAAAGGCAGGGGCCUAUUUUAUAAAGAUGCCUGAUGGUGCCCUGUGCUGAUGGCACCGUGCUGCACCCAUUGAAGACGGGCUACGCUGAAGACGUUUAACUUGGUCAAGUUUUCCCAGACGAGCGUGCCUCUAAACUCCAUUUUCAUCCACAUCAAAAAAUAAGACUGUUACGAACUGUCUCAUGUAUACAUCCUGUCAUUGGUUACUGAAAUGAGGUAACAUCCUAUGACAUGCCACGUCCCCGCAGCAACAGGCUUUGUGACAACUUUCAAAGGAAGCGGCGACAUAUGAAGGGCCCUUGCUUCAUUCACUGACACCUACCAAUGGCUAGUAAGAAUUCACACUGUUUCUCUAAGGAUUUCCUCUAGCUUGUGUGGAUGUGCAUGUGUGUUUGUGGAGGUGCACGCGUGUGUAUGAAGGCCAACCGGAGCUCACGGGUUCAGCCCCUGCGAUCUUGCUGUCCUGACUCCCCAGUGUUGAGAUGACAAGUGUGUCACUGUACCCAGCUUUUCUAGGAGGGUGGUGGGAAUCACAGGCCUUCAUGCUUGCAUGGCAAGCCAUUUACCUACUGAGCUACCCCCAGCCCUUCAUCUAUGUCGUAAACACGGGAAAAGUAUCUUCAUGUGAGAAAUUUAGGUGUUAUCUCGCUGAAGGUCGAGCUUACAUUUAUGAUUAAGUUUCUUCCAUAUCCCAACACAUGAAUUUUACUUAUAUCCUUAUGCAGACAGCAAAUCCCCCAUCUAAAAACUACUCAAGACCUUGAAGUGGGAUCAAACAGCAGAAAGCAGUUCCUCUGAUAAACCAUUUGGCUGAAACAUUUCUAUUUUUCUGAGAUGGAAAACGGCUCGUGAUUGCCUGUUCCCCCAGUGAGAGCAUCGGUGGAGUCAGGGAUCUCCUGCAGUACAUCUGGUACUAUCAUAUCUAUCAAGAGAGACUCGGCUUAGGCAAUGCAUCCAGCAUCCUACAGAUAGUAAAUGGGGAUGCCAAAUCCAUAUUGAGACUUAGCAAGGUGGCUUGAGGCAAACAAAUACGGAUCUGACAGGGAUGCUGCAGUGUGGUUCGAAAGAUAACAUGCAUACCCAAAAAUUGAUGGAGCUCAAUGAUGUAAUGAAGGAGAGCCAGUGAGUUUCGCUGGUAUCUGUGUCAGCCAGGAUCUCCUCAUUCCAGAAGAAGAACUGCAGGGGUCUGGGGUAUCCUUGUGUAUCAACCAGGAAAUGGAGAAGCCUGUUCUAAGUUCACUUGAAGCCAAAUUACAAAGGAGCAGACGGGAUCCCAGAAACAAAGAUGGCACCAGCUACGAUUUAAGAUUCCAAGAAGAUGAAUCUGGAGUGGACCAAGAUCUGGUGUAGAGACUUACACCCUGUGUCAGCCAGCUGCCUGUGACCGAGACAAACAUCUGAGAUGGGUCAAUUUAAGGAGAGGAACUGGGAGAUGGUCCGGAUGGUAAAGCACUUGCUGUGUAAGAAGGAGAGACUGCGUUCAGGUCCCCAGUACCAAGGUAAAAAGCUGGCUGCAGUGACACAGUUCUGGCUCUAGGAAGGAGGAGAACAGGUGAUCGUCCUGAUUAAGCAAGCUCCAUGCUCAGUGAGAGACGUUGCCUUAAAAAAUAAAUUGGAAAGCCAGUGAGGUGCUUUUCUCACUGCUGUGACAAAAUAUCCAACAAGAAGCAACUUAAAGGAGGAAGGGUUUAUUUGGGCUCACAGUUUGAAAAGAUACAGUCCACGGGGCAGAGAAGACAUGAAGGCAGGACUAGAAGAGAGCUGGUCACAUUGUAUCAGCAUUCAGGAAGUAGACAGAAGUGGGUUAUUAUGUUCGGUUCUCCUUCUCCCUUUUAUUAAGUCUAUGACCCUAGAUGAUGAUGAUGCAGCCAAGGUUUAGGGUGAGCCUUCCCAUCACAAGUGUGUAUUCUAGACAUGCCUAAAGGCCAUUUGCCUCCUACAUGAUUUCAGAUCCUUUAAUACUGAAGAUAUUAACCACAGCAGAGAAAUAGAUGAAGAUACGUAACAUACCUAAUAUCCUAGUCUCUCUCUCCCUCUCCCUCUCCCUCUCCCUCUCCCUCUCUCUCUCUCUCUCUCUCUCUCUCUCUCUUUCUCUCUCUCUCUCUCUCUCUCACACACACACACAUCCUUCACAGAUGAACAGGUGUGCAUACAUACAACAUAUAUACAACAAGAAAAGGAAGAGAAAUGUUUUAUUUGGGCUUACAAUAAUGGAGUCUGUAGAGAAGUGUUCCUGUUGCUCUUACAUCUGUGGUAAGGCAGCGCACCUCAGUAAGUAGUUUGUUUUAGAGUAAAGCCAUUUAUCAUUAGACAGGAAAGCACAGGAUGACCCAGAAGCAAAAGCAGAGAUGGGAAGGAAUACACUCCCAUUAUCCUUCUAGCUCCUACCAAUACACUCCCAUUAUCCUUCUAGUUCCCACCAAUACACUCCUGUUAUCCUUCUAGCUCCCACCAAUACACUCCCGUUAACUUUCUAGCUCCUACCAGCUGCUGUAGUGCUAAGCAGAGGACCAAACCUUUGGGGAACAGUCUAGAAUGCUAAUUGCCAUUUUAAUUUUGCAAGCUUUUAUUAAGAGCUUUUAUUGGGGUUUAUUACAUAGUCUUCCUUAUACAGGCUGAUAUAGUAGGGUAAGCUCUGGCUCACAGAGCUGUGAAUAAUCCCUUUAUUCCAUUAUUUCCAGUACAAAGGCAUGAUGACACAGACAGAGAGGAUCUUUAAAGUUUGGCAAAGAUGAGCUCAAGUUUGGAGAAGCCUGUGACCUUGGGCAAAUUCCUUAACCCUCCAGUUCUUUAACUAUAUAAUAAGGGUAAUGAGGCUGCCUUACAGUUAAUUGAAUUAUAUAGGAAAAUUUACACAAAAGCUUUUAGUAUGUGCCUGGGACACAAAGCUAUGAAACAGACACCAGCUCCUUCCCUUCCCAUGCCCUGCACUCUGCAGCUAGUUUUCCCACAGCUCCAAGUACUGCUGUGACUCCUAGCUAGGCCCAGAAGCCCCUUGGGUAGGUCUCUGGGCAACAGACCCUGUGUGAAUCCAUCAAAACUGACCUCUUCCUUGUCAAGUUUCCGACCUUAUCUCUACUAUUGGGUAACCACUGAUUUAUAAUGAUUAACUCAGCAUUUUCUUUCUUCCCCCCCCCCCCAAAGAAACACUUGCUGCCUGUGUAUUUCAAGUACCAACCCCUGUCCCCAGAAUGCAAUAUCCAGGGACAGUGGCAAAUUUGGGUGCCCAGUUCCAUUGAUGUCCUCAUCUACUCUUAGGGUCACCACCUCUCCUUAUAACCAGAUAAUACUUAGGACCGACCUAGUGAUGGAACUAUAAAUAUUUAUGACCCUCGGUGGCUCCCGUAGGUGGUCACUAGUGCAUCCCUCAGUUACCAUUUCAAAUGUUCCCCAAGGGCAGUUUUUCUUCCAGGAAGAAAAAUGCAGCCCCUGAUGAGGAGUGUGGAUGGGGUCUCAGCUCCUUCCCUUAUCCAUGGACGCUCAGCAAGCAGGAAACUUUCUCCCCUCAGGCAGGACCAGCUCAUGGGGAAAGAGGAGAUCAAACAUGCUUCAUCUCUCACCUUGGCCUUCUGUCUUCAGGGCGGCAGGAUCUGAGAGAAGUCCUGUUUGCUCACUUCAUAGCGUUCUUUUGCCGUAGGUGGCUGCUGGCCGCUCAGGCUAUCACUCUGACAUAUUUCUCUAGUUUCUCAUAAAGACUAAAAUACCAUUUAAGUCUUUUCCCAACAGUCCUCAAACCAUGUGAGUAUUACCAAGCAUGAAAUUAUCAGCGAAAAACUCAAUUUUGAGGAGCUGAUUCUUAGGGAAAAAUAAGAAAGAACAUGUCUCCCUGUUAGUGCUGAGAUUGGCUUAUUUAUUUUAUUUUAUUUUAUUUUAUUUUAUUUUCCUCAGUAAUUUAGUUAUUGUGCGCUUCUUAAUCUUUGGAGAUUAAGCUGAGUUUUUCACCUAGACUCCAAUUUUCUCAUAAAUCUCUUCAUUUGGCUUAAUUUAAAUGUUUUGGCCAACUUCAUGGUUUAAUAAUGGGAAGUAAAAUUGGAGCCUUAAUGACUCCUGAGAACGGAAUUUUCAUUUCGUCUGGAAUUAAAAGAGCUGUUAAAGAGGGCGGACAUCCCGUCAGACAAGCUGCUACUACCUCUGCUUGUGGGUGCCAAGUGCAGCUAGAUAUUAUAAGUUGCUUUACACCCAGGGUAAUUCUCCAAUCUGAUUACUUGAAAAUCCUUUUGAAUCCACCCCUGCCUCCAGUCCCCUGCUUACUGUGCCCUAUUGAUCAGCUAUGAACUCGGAAUUGAAUGCAGGCCACCUGAGAAGCGCCCAGCUCCCCCAUGUGCCCCUCACGUGCUGGCUGUCAGAGCCAAGGCAAGUGACCCAGCUUCAGCGCAGGCUGUAUAUAAUGGGGGCCCUGAGCCCUCGAUUAUCAGAUAACUGGGCAGCAGAGUACUAUUUCAACACUUUAACCAGAGCAGCCUUCAUUUAAGAGAAGUCUGAAAAGUUUUUAAAGCCCCCUUUUUAGUAAGUUUACCACUGGAGAGAGAUAUCCACAUCAUGGCUACAUGGCUUCGGAUUCCCUCUUAUCCCAGAGCCGAGAAGAAACACUAUCUGGGCAGCUCCCCUCGUGAAGAAGGAGGCGCCAUGGAUUCUUUGGCUUGUAUAGAAUAUAGUGGGUCCUCUGAGACGGCUCAUGGGAGACCGUCCGGCACCAGGCAGAAGAAUGGGAGCUGGGCUUGCAUAGAGUGAUCCAUUCUCCUAUGAAUUCACUGGAUGGGUAGAAAAAAGAAUCUCACAUUCUCCAAGUAUGCCCUUCAGUUGUAUUCCAAGCCACCCUUCUGUACCACAUGUCCUUCUAAGCAAGGACUGGCCUGAGAUUACCCACUCGUUGUCCUGGGCUUCUCUUUCCUCAUUGAUUAUAAAUGUUUCCGGGGCAAGAAGCUUGCUUUAUAGUGUGUAUGAGUGUGCAUGCGUGUGCAUGUGUGUGAGUGUGUGUGUGUGUUUAUUCAUGCAUUGAUUGGUGAUUGAGUCAGAAAGUCAUUCCUUAUUCCAGCAUUUCUACACGCAGAAGAGUCUUGUUUCUCUGAGACCUGGGGCUCCUGAGAAAUGUACCCUUCCUUUUGAUGACAAUCAUGCUGGGUCUGUCUUAUGUAUGUGUGAGAACGUGCUGACUCAAAAACACUAAUAAUCUUACCAGAGGACAAAAUGACAAUAGUAAUCAUCUUCGGAUACUGACAUCUGGGUUGUUUUCUGUAUUUUUCCCUUUUAUAUCUGUUGGAUAUGUAUCUUACUUAACUGGUUGGCUUUGUUUAAAGAACUUAAGAUAUGGCUUAACUGAUAUAGUAGUGGAAGUUUCACAAAGCCAAAAUAAGAUUCAGAGUCGCAAUAAAGGAGUUUCUCAAUGUUGACCGCUGUGUUCUCGGUAUCUAGGGCAGAAGCCUGCGAGCAGAGGACUUCUGAGGCCCAUGCUUGACCUCAGAACACGAACUUACUAUCAAGCUUAUUAAUAGACGGCAUACCUCCUGCUAUUGUGCCUUUUCAGUCCCGUCUUUUGUUAUGUCUUCUAUGAUGCUGGAACUGCGUGUUACAUAUUUAUACAGUAAGAGAGUAAGUAUGUCAUGUGUCGUAUUACUUAACGGCAUCACAGUUUGUACAUAGAUAGACCCCCAUAUCUGAUCCCACAUGGAUCCAAUGUUGGACAAAAGUUGGACGUAAAGAAUUUUUAUAAAAAAUAUUAAUGACUUAAUUUUGUUUGAUUUUGUGAGACCAGGUUUUCCCGGUAGCCCAGACUUAGAAUUCUCUGACCUCCUGCACACAUGCUCUUCUCGGAGGCUGGGUAGAAACCAGAGAGCAACUCUGCCCGUCAGUCUUUAGGUUCCUUACCUCAUUUUGGGUUUUUUUUGGUUUUCGUUUUGAGGCAGGGUCCCUCACUGGCCUUGAACCCACAAAGUAGGCUAACCUGGCUGGCCAGUGAGCCGCAGAGAUAGACUUGUUUCCAUCUCCCCAUUGCUGGGAUUACACACAUGCAGUGAGUACCAGACCUAGGAUUUUUCUACACUUAGGAUCAAUCUCAGGCCCUAGUUUCUGAGUCAGUACUGUGCUGACUUAGUCAGAUCCCCAGCCCUGUGGCUACUAUUACUGCCAUAAUUCUCUUUGUAGGAUCGUCAUCACCAUGCUAUCAACUAGCUUCCAAUAAAACUGACUUCCAACCAAAUAUCAGAAUCGCCUAUGAAAUGGGUGUGACACCUUGUGAAGUCGUUGGCCAAAUGGGUCCGGUAAAACCUCCCAAACAUCACAGACUAUUGCCAAGUCAAUUAGUUACUUCCAGAAUCUGAUAGUAAGCCCCUAUGGCUGAAUACAUAAAUUACAUCACUGAAUAUGGAGAGAGCAAACUGGGGUCCAGCCAGAAGCUUCACUCCUGCUGACGAGCACUCGUGGCACCAUGAAUCAAGUCUGGAAGGUACCGUGCAUGCCACCAGACAGAAAAGUCACCAUCAGUUUAAGCCAGCUACCAGUUCUGAAACCCGCAACAGAGGCCUGUCUGCAAGACACCAGGUUCAAUAGAGACACAAAAGUAAACAGCCAUUUUCUUAAAAAAUUGGAUUUAAGGUCCACUCCGUGAGAUGGAACCCAUACUCAACACUGCUAAAGUGGCCAAGAACCUGAGACUAGAUAGGUGCCAGGUCCUAGAAAAAAAACAAAAAACACUACUAAUAUUAGGCUAAAUGAACUGAUGGUAGUGUUAUACCCAUGGAUCAGAGCAUCACCCAGCCCUCCUUGCUGGACCUUCUUCUUGCAGUAGUCGGUAAUUAACACACAGAGACUCACAAUUGGACUGUGUGUAGGCAGAGACAAACUGUGGAACUCUCGGUCUCAAAUGAGAUGUUUUCUGUAAAACUCUUCCUUCAAGGCUCAGGGAUCUGUAUGGAAGAGGGGGGCAGAGAAACUGUGAGAUCUAGAGGUGAUGGGUGACUCCAAGGAGACAGAAUCUUUCUGACACAGCAGGGCUGAUCCACCUGUGAACCCAUGGACACUGUAGCAGCAAGCGCAAGACCUGUAUGAGUCCAAAUCAGACAAAACACCAGCACUGACACAAAGUCUCACCCCUCACCAAGAAGCUAUUUCAAUGGAUAAUUGCUGAGAAAGGGAAAAUCAAUUUUCUCCAAUGUGGUAUCACUGAGUAUAUAUAUUAACCACACCCUAGGGCAGGACCCAUGUCCAGGAGUAGUUGACCAACCCAGAAUGGACACCAUGCUUUUUUUGUGUGCUUUUUGUUUUAUUUUGAUAGCUUUGUCUACUUGGGUGUA